rnacentral:rRNA from 1 species
UACGUAGGUGGCAAGCGUUGUCCGGAUUUAUUGGGUUUAAAGGGUGCGUAGGUGGUCUAUUAAGUCAGUGCUGAAAUAUCCCGGCUUAACCGGGAGGGUGGCAUUGAUACUGAUGGACUUGAGUAAAGUUGAGGUAGGCGGAAUUGACGGUGUAGCGGUGAAAUGCUUAGAUAUCGUCAAGAACACCGACAGCGAAGGCAGCUUACUAAGCUUUAACUGACGCUGAUGCACGAAAGUGUGGGGAUCAAACAGG